ACUAGAUUAGCUUAAAGGUAGAGCAUCCAGCUGAUAACUGGACGACAUAGGGUCAGUACCUAUAUCUAGUACCA
rnacentral:tRNA from 1 species